GACGAACGCUGGCGGCGUGCUUAACACAUGCAAGUCGAACGAAGAGCGAUGGAAGCUUGCUUCUAUCAAUCUUAGUGGCGAACGGGUGAGUAACGCGUAAUCAACCUGCCCUUCAGAGGGGGACAACAGUUGGAAACGACUGCUAAUACCGCAUACGAUCUAAUCUCGGCAUCGAGGAUAGAUGAAAGGUGGCCUCUACAUGUAAGCUAUCACUGAAGGAGGGGAUUGCGUCUGAUUAGCUAGUUGGAGGGGUAACGGCCCACCAAGGCGAUGAUCAGUAGCCCGUCUGAGAGGAUGGACGGCCACAAUGGGAAUGGGACACGGCCCAGACUUCUACGGGAGGCAGCAGUGGGGAAUCUUCCGCAAUGGACGGAAGUCUGACGGAGCAACGCCGCGUGAGUGAUGACGGCCUUCGGGUUUUAAAGCUCUGUUAAUCGGGACGAAAGGCCUUCUUGCGAAUAGUGAGAAGGAUUGACGGUACCGGAAUAGAAAGCCACGGCUAACUACGUG
rnacentral:rRNA from 1 species